CUGCAGCCAGUUAAGCUGACUGUCUCCUUCUCCCUGUUGGGGCCCAGUGUGCAGAGGAUGUAGACAGCAGCCUCCUUGAUAGUAUACAUUGCCUGUUGUUUGUAUCGAUUGCCCUAAGGAACCUUGGAGACAGCU
rnacentral:snoRNA from 1 species